rnacentral:rRNA from 1 species
GUGCCACCAGCCGCGGUAACACGUCGGUGGCAAGCGUUAUCCGGAAUUAUUGGGCGUAAAGCGCGCGUAGGCGGUUUUUUAAGUCUGAUGUGAAAGCCCACGGCUCAACCGUGGAGGGUCAUUGGAAACUGGAAAACUUGAGUGCAGAAGAGGAAAGUGGAAUUCCAUGUGUAGCGGUGAAAUGCGCAGAGAUAUGGAGGAACACCAGUGGCGAAGGCGACUUUCUGGUCCGUAACUGACGCUGAUGUGCGAAAGCGUGGGGAUCAAACAGGAUUAGAUACCCUGGUAGUCC